UUUUGAGAGAGACCACAUUCACAUAACUUUCUGUAUGUUAUACUGUUAUAAUUGUUCUAUUUUAUUAAGUUAUUGUUAUUAAUCUCUUACUGAACCUAAUUUAUAAAUCAACGUUCACUGCUCGGCUGUCUCUUUUAUGAUUAACAGUGUAAUUUCGAAGGAGAGGAAGAAAAAGACUCCAUGCUGAAGAGGGAGCCCGACACAGAGCUCAAUCCCAGGACCCCGGGAUUAUGACCUGAGCCAAAGGCAGAUGCUUAACUGACUGGGGCACCCAGGAGUCUCUAGGUUGAACAAAGAGGCAGAACAAAUUUCUCUCUGGGUUCACUGUGCAAAGUGCAGUAUUACUCUUGUAUGUUGUAAUUACUGGCAACGAGAAGUAAAAAGCAUUAAUUGGUGGCUGUAGGAAAUGCAUUAAGGGCAGUCACAGAACACCUCAUUAAAUAUAGGAUAAAUAUAUACAAAGAUGUGUUAAAAGCAUUUGGCUUCAAGAGAAGGCUCAGAAUACAAUUUAAGAGUCUGAUUUAAGAUGAAUGUUAUAAGGCAAGGUAUUUCAAACAGAAGAAAUCUUCCUACUCUAUGAUAAUCAAAGACUAAAGAGCUUAUGGAAGAUAAACCAGUUAAUGAAUAUUAAAGUAUAUAAUACAUUUCAAUUAAGUAAAAAGAUGAUGAACAUUUAAAAGGACCUCUUAUUUACCUCUUCUACAUUGGAAGCAGUCUUAGCAGAAGUUUCCAUGAAGAUAAGUCCAUGUUCUCGUGCAAAAGCUUCACCUUCUUCUUUUUUUACUUCUCUUCUUGAUUCUAAAUCACUAAAUAUGGGAAAUAAAAGGCCAUAUUAUUAACCAACACAGUAUAAAUACAGGCAUCUGUGCAGAGUGUACAAAAAGAUUCAAAGUUGGGGGAUCCCUGGGUGGCGCAGCGGUUUGGCGCCUGCCUUUGGCCCAGGGCACGAUCCUGGAGACCCGGGAUCGAAU